GGAAGUAAAAGUCGUAACAAGGUUUCCGUAGGUGAACCUGCGGAAGGAUCAUUAUUGAUAGCAAGUAAUGUUCUCAGAGGGCUCUCACACCCCCGUGAAUCUUCGUCCUGUUUUAUCAGGCGCUACUUACAAACUCUGAUGUUGUCAUUGAAUGCAGUUGUUAUCUUAACAAAAUACAACUUUCAGCAACGGAUCUCUUGGCUCUCGCAUCGAUGAAGAACGCAGCGAAAUGCGAUAAGUAAUGUGAAUUGCAGAAUUCAGUGAACCAUCGAAUCUUUGAACGCACCUUGCGCCUUUCGGACUCUGUCCUGGGCAUGCCUGUUUGAGAGCCACCUCAUUGUUGUGCCAGUUGCCUUUAAUGUCAACUGGUUACAGUACUGGAUGCUGCCGGGACCGUCCGGUCCGGCUCAUCCUGAAUGCAUUAGCAUUUUUGACUUGUAAUCGACGUGAUAAGUAUCUUCGUCGGUGAAAGGUCAAGCCUGCUCACAAUCGUCUUCUGACAAUACCUAAUGCUAGGCAUCAAAUCAGGUAGGAUUACCCGCUGAACUUAAGCAUAUCAAUAAGCGGAGGA
rnacentral:misc_RNA from 1 species